rnacentral:lncRNA from 10 species
AUUCUUCUUAAGAAAUGCUCAGGCUCCACAGGGUAGGAACACAGAGGCAGACACAUAAUUGAAACGUCAUAAAUGGUAUGACCUUGUGUUCAUUUGUAAUGAAAACAUAUAAGUUUAUGGGAACAUAGAGGAGAGAAAUUCAUCUCAGGAGGGUGUGGAUUAAAAAGGGGCUUAGGGGCCGGGCGUGGUGGCUCAUGCCUGUAAUCCCAGUACUUUGGGAGGCUGAGGCAGGCGGAUCUUGAGGCCAGAAGUUCGAGACCAGCCUGACCAACACAGUGAAACCCCGUAUCUACUAAAAAUACAAAAAUUAGCUGGCGUGGUGGCGCAUGCCUGUAGUCCCAGCUACUCGGGAGGCUGAGACAGGGGAAUCGCUUGAACCUGGAAGACGGCAGUUGCAGUGAGCCAAGAUCGUGCCACUGCACUCCAGCCUGGCAACAUAGCGAGACUCCGUCUCAAAAAGAAAAAAAAAAAAAAAAAACAAAAAAAGCGGGGGGCACUAGGGAAAGCUUCCAAUAAGCAUCAGCACAUGAAUUAAGACUCGAAGUCUUCUCUUACACCAGGGAAUUGAGCCAGUUCAAGGGGGAAAAAAACAUUAGGGAACGGUGCCCCUUUUAAGGAGAUCAAGCAAUUGAUAUUUUCAGAGUUCAACAAGUGGCAAGACAUGAAACAAGACAACGUUGAUCAACUUUGGCUAACUUUAGGAGAAAAAAAAGUGCUGGAAGGGUACAGGAUGGCUCAUAGAGAGUCUUACAGCCCUCAUUAAGGAGCUUGGACUUAAUCCUGAAGAAAACAAUGAACCAUCUGGAAGAUGCUAUGCUCAUAUUUAUAUUUGAAAUCAUUUAUGUGGAUUACUCUACAAAGGGUGGAUUUAAAGGAGACCAUUAGGAGUCUCCUGGCAAUGGGCUGAGGGAAAGAGGUUGGAGAAGAGCUAGGGAGUAUUGGGACAUUAAAUUUGCAAAAAUAGAACGGAAUCAAGGAUACAGGUUAGAGGACACACCAAGACCGCCCCCAAGAAUAAGGAAAACAAAGCUGGUGUGAUGGGGAAGGUGAUGAGGGCUCAAACAUGUGGAGUUUUAGGCACCUAUGGAUUUCCAGGUAGAAAUGACAGAAGAAAACUGCAUACACGAGCCAGCAACUCAGGGAGGAUUCUGGCUGAAGAGAGUCACUAGAAGUUACCAGCAAGCAGCAUAACUGCAUUAGAAGGGCAUUCAGCUCCUGAAAGUUUGCUUGUUAAUAACACCACUCAGCGAGAGCUGUGGCAUGAAAGGAGCAGGAGGCCUUUACUGUACUGUGAGAUUCCUUGAAGAUCAAAUGAGAGACUCU